UACGGGGGGGGCAAGCGUUGUUCGGAAUUACUGGGCGUAAAGGGCUCGUAGGCGGCCAACUAAGUCGGACGUGAAAUCCCUCAGCUUAACUGGGGAACUGCGUCCGAUACUGGAUGGCUUGGAUUUGGGAGAGGGAUGCGGAAUUCCAGGUGUAGCGGUGAAAUGCGCAGAUAUCGGGAAGAACACCCGUGGCGAAGGCGGUUCUCUGGGACGGUACUGACGCUGAGACGCGAAAGCGUGGGGAGCGAACAGG
rnacentral:rRNA from 1 species